UACGAAGGGUGCAAACGUUGCUCGGAAUUACUGGGCGUAAAGCGCACGUAGGCGGCUUUGUAAGUUAGAGGUGAAAGCCCGGGGCUCAACCCCGGAAUUGCCUUUAAGACUGCAUCGCUUGAAUCCGGGAGAGGUGAGUGGAAUUCCGAGUGUAGAGGUGAAAUUCGUAGAUAUUCGGAAGAACACCAGUGGCGAAGGCGGCUCACUGGGCCCGA
rnacentral:rRNA from 1 species